CGUGCAGGCGGCCUUGCAAGUCGGGCGUGAAAUCCCACGGCUCAACCGUGGAAGUGCAUUCGAAACUGCGAGGCUGGAGUCCUGGAGAGGAAAGUGGAAUACUCGGUGUAGAGGUGAAAUUCGUAGAUAUCGAGUGGAACACCGGUGGCGAAGGCGGCUUUCUGGACAGGUACUGACGCUGAGACGCGAAAGCGUGGGAGCAAACA
rnacentral:rRNA from 1 species